rnacentral:rRNA from 1 species
AUUACCGCGGCUGCUGGCACGUAGUUAGCCGUGGCUUAUUCAUCUGGUACCUUCAAUUUGGAGCGCACUCCUUUUUUAUCCCCAGAUAAAAGCAGUUUACAACCCAGAAGGCCUUCUUCCUGCACGCGGCAUGGCUGGUUCAGACUUGCAUCCAUUGACCAAUAUUCCCUACUGCUGCCUCCCGUAGGAGU